UUUUUCAUAACCCCGCAGCAGCGUCGAAAACAGGCGGUGGGGCCAGGAUAGGGAACACGUAAGCACAUUCGCACUUCAGCACUUCUACAGGACACUGCGCAGUUUGGAGCACAGCGGGCUCGAAGGAAAGAUUAGUCAAUAUCUUUGUGAUACAAACGGCCUGAAAAAUGACACUGCUGCUGUGGACUUUUGUGGGAAGCCUCUUCUUCGUAUGCGCAUGGAACACAAUGGCUGAAGCGGAAAAGAUGUCAACUCCAAUUUCGUCAUUGCAAAAAAUGCGGAGGACAGAGGGUAGUGCUCGCGUCGAGAUUCCGGCUCCACCUAUGCAGUUCCCAUGCAGAUUGGACGGAGAAUCGUGCAGAAAAACAUCCGACUGCUGUAGAGGAGGGACCUGUGAGAAUUCCACGUGUGCCUAUCACCAAACGUAGCGCUGACCACUAAGAGCCUGCGUGGAGAGCCGAAGACCACGUGACUUGAGAACGCUGAAACGAGGCCGGAUCUCCACCACACAAAGCAGGGACGACUGACGGCUCACUUCAUGCGAAACUAAAAUUUUCCUGGGGUCCAAUGCAUAUCGGCAACAGCAUGCGCGUUCGAAUAAAUCAAAUUCAUCUCUGGA